rnacentral:tRNA from 1 species
UCUCAGCUGGCUCAGUCAGUACAGCUUAUGACUCUUAAUCUCAGGGUCAUGGAUUCGAGUCCCAUGUUGGGUG